rnacentral:rRNA from 1 species
UACGGAGGGUGCAAGCGUUAUCCGGAUUCACUGGGUUUAAAGGGUGCGUAGGCGGGCAGGUAAGUCAGUGGUGAAAUCUCCGGGCUUAACCCGGAAACUGCCGUUGAUACUAUCUGUCUUGAAUAUCGUGGAGGUAAGCGGAAUAUGUCAUGUAGCGGUGAAAUGCUUAGAUAUGACAUAGAACACCCAUUGCGAAGGCAGUUUACUACACGAUCAUUGACGCUGAGGCACGAAAGCGUGGGGAGCAAACAGG